GUUGGGUUCAGGAAUCAUAAGCGAGUUGGUUUGGGAACGUGGAAUUGGUAACGGGACUGAAAUCAUGUCGUUGUACUGUUCGUGGCCACCAUUCUGUUCCGACCCUUCGAACUGUUUCCUGGUAGCCACCAAAAAAAGAAGUGUCCUGUUGACGCUGAUACGAGUAAGGAUAUUAAAUCAGAUUUCAACACUGCAAGCAUAUUUCGGACCCAGCCCAGUACUUCAGGAAAGCCAUGUAAAGACGUUACUUGUCUCGCUGUUUC